UAGGACAUGAUCUGUAUUUACAGACAACAUGAAACCCUCCUGCUGCACGUGACAAUAUUUACUUUCACCUCAGGGUUUGCUUGCUCUUCACAUAUUUGUUUAACAAAACACAGCGAGGUGAUUUUAGAUGAAGGACAUCAGAGAAGAAGAAGAAACAGAUUUUAAACUCAAAUGAUCUUUUUCCUGAAGGAAACCCUCCAAAGCGUCCCAGUGUAACUCAGCGUGGACGGUCACGUUGCUACGGAGAACGUCUCAUCAUCUCAGGUUUCUGCUGCCUCCCAACACGCCCAGCGCUGGAUUCUCACUCUAAAUUUAGCCGCCUUAAAGUCAGAUGAGACAGCAGAGGGACAGCUUACCGUAAAACCUCAGAGGCUCUGAAUGUCUGAUGAUUCAUAUCUGAAGUUCUGAUGGAUUAGAGUGGAGCGGUCCUGCAGGAGAAGCAUGGUGCCGGUCCGGAGUCCAGAGUAACUCCAGUCUGCAGGAACUUUCCUGGAUCUGGGAAUGUCUGGCCUUUUCUGCAGCAGCUGUUUGAAUAUUUCCUCUGCAGAACAAUGAGCUGCUGGACGUUUUUAGUCGCCUUCAGCCUUCUUGUGCCUUGGUGCCAUGCAGGCUGUGCGGAGGUGGACUCCAUGACCGAAGCCGUGGCCGGAGAAGGAUUCCUGCUCGGCUGCAUUUCCUGUAAGAAGAGGGAGGAAGUGUCGGCCCGAGCCACGGUGGACUGGCACUUCAAACGGCCCGAGGACCACGAGUUCACACAUGUGAGUCAGAACCAUCAGGAAAUCAGCAACUGCUUAAAACAAACAAACAA